rnacentral:lncRNA from 1 species
UUUUUUUUUUUUUUUUUUGCUAUUUCUUGGGCCGCUCCCGCGGCAUAUGGAGGUUCCCAGGCUAGGGGUCGAAUCGGAGCUGUAGCCACAGGCCUGUGCCAGAGCCACAGCAAUGCAGGAUCCGAGCCGUGUCAGCAACCUACACCACAGCUCACGGCAACGCCAGAUCGUUAACCCACUGAGCAAGGGCAAGGACCGAACCCGCAACCCCAUGGUUCCUAGUCGGAUUCGUUAACCACUGCACCACGACAGGAACUCCCUAGUCUGGUUUGUCAACCACGGAGCCAUGAUUGGAACUCUUUUUUAAAAUUAAAAAAAUUUUUUUAAUGAGCCCAAGUUUCCCAUUUGCAGGGCUGUUGUGAGAAUUCAAGGUAGACCUAAUACCAUGCAGGGCAGUAGCUGUCAUAGACACUCCCUCAGUGAGAGCUAUUAUUAUGAUAUUCUUAAAACAGAAUCCCUUUCUUCACUUAUGAGUGUUUCUCACCACACUACCAGGAUCAUCAGUGAAUACUUGAAAUAUCAGGGUUGGUACCACUAAUGAAUUAAUUUAUAGAUGCGUAAAUAGCCAGUGUGCCCCGAGACCACAUUUUCUGUUGUAAGUCAAUGUAUUUCAAUAGCUGAAAGCUAAUUUCCACAUGGGUCUUUGACCUUUAAAACUACUGAAUGUGUUGCUCUCAAGUGACAGGAUCUUUUCUGCACCUGACACUGAUUUGCAAAAUUAGAUGUCCGGAAAGCUAAAACAUAUUUUUUUUAUGAACAAGACAACAAUGUAACAAGCCUGGGACUAUCUCAUUAAACCUGACUACAGCAGAGUGUUGGUGACCAUCAAGGGACCAGGUUUCUGCUAUUGCAGGAUCUCUAGGAAAGGAAGCAGGUUAGGCCUCUAUGAGACGAUUCCAAAGCCCCUGUCAAAUUCAUGAAGCCUCCUGCACAUAGAGUGAAGCACUGGUUCUCAAACGGCAUCUUAGAGUCACCUGGGGAACUUUAUCAAUUACUGCCAUUCAGGUUGCAUUUUACCUAGUGAAUCACAGUCUCCGAGGGAGGAGGCUGCACAUCAGAAUUUUUUUUUCUUUGCCACACCCAUGGUACAUGGAAUUUCAGGGCCAGGGAACCAAUCUGCACUGCGACAGCAGUGACCCUGGCUGGCUGGAUCCUUAACCCACUGCACCACAAGAGAACUCCCCACAUGAAAAAAAUUUUACAAGCUCUCUGGGUUACUGUAAUAUGGAGCUCAGGUUGCAAACAGUCACUGGAGUAAAGAAAUGUUCUGAUUGGCUGAUAGUCUUGAAAACAGGUGCUCUUUCUUUACAUAAGAAGGCUGAAAAGUGUGGAGGCAACAAGAGGAAAAACAGAACAGCCCAGAAAGAAGAGAUGGAGAACAGAAAGAGUGGGAUGGAGCUCGAGGUUGGGGGAGGAGGGGAAAAUGAUAACUACAGCAGAGGGUGGGCUUGUCCUUCGGGGCAGGGAGAUGGGAGCCUGAGCAGGUCUGAGCUCCCGGGGAGGAAAGGCUGGACAGUGGCCAUGGACAUAGACACCCUCUCUCCAGCCUGUGGCAGAAUGCUACCACUUUGGGGGCCAUGAGGGAACACCAGCAAGGGCUGAAUGGGGAAGGCAGUCACUUCUGCUGUCAGAUCUAUAACCCCAGCUUUUCACCUGAUUGUCCCAAGCUCGUCAAACUUCCAUACCUUUCCGUGUUCUAUUCCUUCCGCCUGAGAUCACUUUUCUCCUCCACCACACAAAUGCCAUCCAAUAACACCUCCCACAUGAAGUCUCUCCUGAUUUCCUCUGGCAUAGUUAAUUACUCACCUAGUCAGUCCAGAGCAUUUCUCCCAGAACACUUUGUGUGUUCCCUUGGUCACAACCCAUCACAUCAUAUUAGUCUGUGCUUUAUAUGCCUACGCCCUUGCACCUGCAGGCUCAGUUCUAGGUACUUUCCUGUGUUUCAUCCUUGGUCUUGUCACAGGACCCAGUGCAAAUUCAGUAUCUUUUUAACGGAGUCUGCAGCACAGCAGUAGACUUCCACACAGAUGUCUACACAGCAUCCUUUUUAGAAUAAUUGGCCCAUCUUAUGGGAUUCUGGAGCAAUUGCCAAUCAGGAUGAUUUACCUGCCCACUGGACUUACAGGUCAGCAAGUGACCCAAGCAGGGUAAUUAAGACUCCUCCCAUAAGAACUGCUAUCUGGAUACUGGGAAAGAGGAUUUCUGUUCCAAGAAUUAUUUGGAUUUUACCUGAGAUGGCAAAAAUUUUCUUGUUUGUAGCAAGCGCAGAGCUGCCUUUGGCAGGAGUGAAUAUUGCUAAGUGUUGACACAUUUAGAAAGAGAGAGAGGUCGAAAUCGAUAGAGGAAGAGAGGUGAUGAAUCCUAAUGAAGGCGUGUUAGCACCUGGAUACAACCAAGCCUGAUAUACAACCAUCACUCGAGACUUUCCAGCUCCACGUGCCAAUAAACUCAUCAUUUUGCUAGUGCUAGAGCUGGAUUUCUAUCACUUGCACUGGAAGUGACUUGUACCAACUCAAUCAAUCAUGAUAAUGAUAUUGAUGACAAAACCCCCAGUCAGACAAAUAUUACAUCUGAUUCUUCUCUUUAAGAAAUCAGCAGAGAAUAAAUUCAUUUUGAAAUAAAGGUGUUCAAACUGUUCCACAAGGUCCAAGGUAGGUGAGGAGGACUCCCAGGGAACAAAUUAAGGAACAAAUUAGAAAGUAAGGGUGCAGAGCUUGGCUUGCUUCUUCCUUUUUAACUCUCUUUAUUCUGUUUUAUAUGCUGGGAUUCUAUAAUUACAUUUUGAAAAAAAAAAA